AGUGAACGCUGGCGGCAGGCCUAACACAUGCAAGUCGAACGGCAGCACAGUAAGUGCUUGCUCUUACGUGUGGCGCGUGGCGGACGGGUGAGGUAUACACCGGAAUCUACUUUUUCGCGGGUGAUAACGUCGGGAAACUUACGCUAAUACCGCAUUCGACGUACGUGUGACAGCAGGGGAUCUUCGGACCUUGUGCGUUUGAUUGAGCCGAUGUCGGAUUACCUAGUUGGCGGGGUAAAGGCCCACCAAGGCGACGAUCCGUAGCGGGUCCGAGCGGAUGAUUAGGCAGACGGGAAGUGAGGAAGGGUCCACACACUGACGGGAGGCAGCAGUGGGGAAUAUUGGACGAUGGGCGCAAGCCUGAUCCAGCCAUACCGCGUGGGUGAAGAAGGCGUUCGGGUUGGAAAGCGAUGUUGUUGGGAAAGAAAUGCAGCAGUUUAACACCCCGCGGUAAUGACGGUACCCAAAGAAGAAGCACCGGCCAACUUCGUG
rnacentral:rRNA from 1 species